rnacentral:rRNA from 1 species
AGUUUGAUCCUGGCUCAGGACGAACGCUGGCGGCGCGCCUCAUACAUGCAAGUCGAACGUGAAGCGGGGCUUCGGCCCCGUGGAAAGUGGCGAACGGGUGCGUAACACGUGAGCAACCUGCCCCGAAGACUGGGAUAACCCGAGGAAACUCGGGCUAAUACCGGAUGCCCUCACCGGAUCGCAUGGUCUGGUGAGGAAAUGGAUUCCGCUUCGGGAUGGGCUCGCGGUCUAUCAGCUUGUUGGUGGGGUAACGGCCUACCAAGGCGACGACGGAUAGCUGGUCUGAGAGGACGAUCAGCCACACUGGGACUGAGACACGGCCCAGACUCCUACGGGAGGCAGCAGUAGGGAAUCUUGCGCAAUGGGGGAAACCCUGACGCAGCGACGCCGCGUGCGGGAUGAAGGCCUUCGGGUUGUAAACCGCUUUCAGCAGGGACGAAAUUGACGGUACCUGCAGAAGAAGGCCCGGCCAACUACGUGCCAGCAGCCGCGGUAAUACGUAGGGGCCAAGCGUUGUCCGGAUUUAUUGGGCGUAAAGAGCUCGUAGGCGGUUCGGUAAGUCAGCUGUGAAAUCUCCACGCUCAACGUGGAGGGGUCAGCUGAUACUGCCGUGACUUGAGUCUGGUAGGGGAGUGCGGAAUUCCCGGUGUAGCGGUGAAAUGCGCAGAUAUCGGGAGGAACACCAGUGGCGAAGGCGGCACUCUGGGCCAGUACUGACGCUGAGGAGCGAAAGCGUGGGGAGCGAACAGGAUUAGAUACCCUGGUAGUCCACGCCGUAAACGUUGGGCACUAGGUGUGGGAACCUAUCGACGGUUUCCGUGCCGUAGCUAACGCAUUAAGUGCCCCGCCUGGGGAGUACGGCCGCAAGGCUAAAACUCAAAGGAAUUGACGG